rnacentral:rRNA from 1 species
AGAAUCAACGCUGGCGGCGUGCCUAACACAUGCAAGUCGAACGAGAAAGGGUAGCAAUACCUGAGUAAAGUGGCGCACGGGUGAGUAACACGUGACUAACCUACCCUGGAGUGGGGGAUAACUGAGGGAAACCUUAGCUAAUACCGCAUAACACCUACGGGUCAAAGGAGCAAUUCGCUUUGGGAGGGGUCGCGGUCGAUUAGUUAGUUGGCGGGGUAAUGGCCCACCAAGACUUUGAUCGAUAUCC